CCUACGGUGCGCUGCAGUGGGGAAUAUUGGACAAUGGGCGAAAGCCUGAUCCAGCCAUGCCGCGUGUGUGAAGAAGGCCUUCGGGUUGUAAAGCACUUUCAGUGGGGAAGAAAGCCUUGGGGCUAAUACCCUCGAGGAAGGACAUCACCCACAGAAGAAGCACCGGCUAACUCCGUGCCAGCAGCCGCGGUAAUACGGAGGGUGCGAGCGUUAAUCGGAAUUACUGGGCGUAAAGCGCGCGUAGGCGGUCUGAUAAGCCGGUUGUGAAAGCCCCGGGCUCAACCUGGGAACGGCAUCCGGAACUGUCAGGCUAGAGUGCAGGAGAGGAAGGUAGAAUUCCCGGUGUAGCGGUGAAAUGCGUAGAGAUCGGGAGGAAUACCAGUGGCGAAGGCGGCCUUCUGGACUGACACUGACGCUGAGGUGCGAAAGCGUGGGUAGCAAACAGGAUUAGAUACCCGAGUAGUC
rnacentral:rRNA from 1 species